CACACACACUGACAAACAAACUGACCACGCUAUAGUGUCGCGAGACGGUCGUCUACAUCGACUGGAGCUACUCUAUGACAAAGCAGACAGUGGAAAUCAACAUAGCAACAUGUCACAGACACCGGAAAUGCGAAACGUAACAAGGCAUGAGAGUGAAGAGAGAGCAGCUGGGGCCACAUAUUGUGCAAGCAUGAAGGAGCUGUUACAGAGGUCAGACUUGGUCAUGGUGCUGGUCAAUCUGUCCCCUCAGACGCACAACUGAUUGGUGCCAAACAGUUUGCCAUAAUGAAACCCAAUAGCACCUUUAUCAACAUUAGCAGAGGAACCCACACCGUGGAGACCGCACAGAUCACAGUGGAUGACCAAUGCCUUGGCCGUUGUAACUGGAGACCAGCUUCCUGAUGAAGUCAAGGCAUAGAGCCAGAACACAGAGCCAUCUGUUCCUCUUUUGUUUUUAACCAGCAAAACAUAGAAAUACUAAUAGAUUUAGUAAUCUUUUUCAUUUGUUUUGUGGUUUGUGCAUAUGAGCUAUCUUUUAAAUUCUUUGUGUAUGUUAAUUCAAUAGCCUAAAGGAUAUUAAAGGAUGUGUUUGUUAGAUUGAACAGUACAGU